AAAUUAUGAUUGUGUCAAGAUUUGUAUUUAAUUUAAUAUUUAAUUUAAUAUUUUUAAGAAUAAGUUAUCUAUUAGGAUAUUAUUUUCCUAAUAUGAUUUUAGCUAUGAUUUUUAUUAUUUUCUUGUUAACUAAGUUUAAGAAUGUUCUAGAACCUAAGGUUUCCUACGGCUUUAGGGUUUCUUUGUUUUUUUAUUUAAACCAACUCAUAACGUUGUAUUUGUCAGUUUUAUCAUAUUUUUAAUCAAAUUUAGAGAUUUU
rnacentral:lncRNA from 1 species